rnacentral:rRNA from 1 species
UCCGUAGGUGUAAACCUGCGGAAAGGAUCAUUA